rnacentral:rRNA from 1 species
AUACGGAGGAUCCGAGCGUUAUCCGGAUUUAUUGGGUUUAAAGGGUGCGCAGGCGGGAGAUUAAGUCGGUGGUGAAAUUUUGCGGCUCAACCGUAACAGUGCCAUUGAUACUGGUUUCCUUGAGUGUGGAUGAAGUAGGCGGAAUUUGUGGUGUAGCGGUGAAAUGCAUAGAUAUCACGAGGAACUCCGAUCGCGUAGGCAGCUUACUAAACCAUAACUGACGCUCAUGCACGAAGGCGUGGGGAUCAAACAGGAUUAGAUACCCUGGUAGUCCACGCGGUAAACGAUGAUUACUGGCUGUUUGCGAUACACAGUAAGCGGCCCAGCGAAAGCGUUAAGUAAUCCACCUGGGGAGUACGUUCGCAAGAAUGAA